GACGAACGCUGGCGGCGUGCUUAACACAUGCAAGUCGAACGGAAAGGCCCUGCUUUUGUGGGGUGCUCGAGUGGCGAACGGGUGAGUAACACGUGAGUAACCUGCCCUUGACUUUGGGAUAACUUCAGGAAACUGGGGCUAAUACCGGAUAGGAGCUCCUGCUGCAUGGUGGGGGUUGGAAAGUUUCGGCGGUUGGGGAUGGACUCGCGGCUUAUCAGCUUGUUGGUGGGGUAGUGGCUUACCAAGGCUUUGACGGGUAGCCGGCCUGAGAGGGUGACCGGCCACAUUGGGACUGAGAUACGGCCCAGACUCCUACGGGAGGCAGCAGUGGGGAAUAUUGCACAAUGGGCGGAAGCCUGAUGCAGCAACGCCGCGUGCGGGAUGACGGCCUUCGGGUUGUAAACCGCUUUCGCCUGUGACGAAGCGUGAGUGACGGUAAUGGGUAAAGAAGCACCGGCUAACUACGUGCCAGCAGCCGCGGUGAUACGUAGGGUGCGAGCGUUGUCCGGAUUUAUUGGGCGUAAAGGGCUCGUAGGUGGUUGAUCGCGUCGGAAGUGUAAUCUUGGGGCUUAACCCUGAGCGUGCUUUCGAUACGGGUUGACUUGAGGAAGGUAGGGGAGAAUGGAAUUCCUGGUGGAGCGGUGGAAUGCGCAGAUAUCAGGAGGAACACCAGUGGCGAAGGCGGUUCUCUGGGCCUUUCCUGACGCUGAGGAGCGAAAGCGUGGGGAGCGAACAGGCUUAGAUACCCUGGUAGUCCACGCUGUAAACGGUGGGUACUAGGUGUGGGGUCCAUUCCACGGGUUCCGUGCCGUAGCUAACGCUUUAAGUACCCCGCCUGGGGAGUACGGCCGCAAGGCUAAAACUCAAAGAAAUUGACGGGGCCCCGCACAAGCGGCGGAGCAUGCGGAUUAAUUCGAUGCAACGCGUAGAACCUUACCUGGGUUUGACAUGGAUCGGGAGUGCUCAGAGAUGGGUGUGCCUCUUUUGGGGUCGGUUCACAGGUGGUGCAUGGCUGUCGUCAGCUCGUGUCGUGAGAUGUUGGGUUAAGUCCCGCAACGAGCGCAACCCUUGUUCACUGUUGCCAGCACGUUAUGGUGGGGACUCAGUGGAGACCGCCGGGGUCAACUCGGAGGAAGGUGGGGAUGACGUCAAGUCAUCAUGCCCCUUAUGUCCAGGGCUUCACGCAUGCUACAAUGGCUGGUACAGAGAGUGGCGAGCCUGUGAGGGUGAGCGAAUCUCGGAAAGCCGGUCUCAGUUCGGAUUGGGGUCUGCAACUCGACCUCAUGAAGUCGGAGUCGCUAGUAAUCGCAGAUCAGCAACGCUGCGGUGAAUACGUUCCCGGG
rnacentral:rRNA from 1 species